UUAACUUGCUGUCUGGGUAUUAUUAGUUAGGAUCUUUAAACCCAAAGAAUUUGGCGGCAUUUCAUUCCAUUUAGAGGAACCUGUCCCGUAAUUGAUAAUACACGAUUGGUUAUACUUAAUUUAUGCUUGUAUAUCUCCGUUAUCAGAAUGUCUUUUUAGAGUAAUAAAAUUUUCUUAAUUCUUAAUUUAGAAUUAUUUCAGGUCAAGAUGCAGUUUUAGUUAAGUGGAGAUGGGUUACAAUGAUUUUGUAUUUGUCGGUUUUUCUUAUGAGAAUUUUUGAUUAAGGUGGAUUUAAUAGUAAUUUAUUAACUUUAUUAUGAAAGAGCGCGCACACAUUC
rnacentral:rRNA from 1 species